GUAGUAUUGCACACACAGCAGCAAAUAUAGUUCACAACUUAAGAUCACCAUAAAAAGAAGCUCUCCAAUCAUGACAAUAAGAUCCACCCAUAAGAGAGGCUGUGCUCCUGGCUGAAGAUGUCUGGACAGAGUCCCAGAUGGGGGGCUGUGACAAAAGGAAGAAUUCCUUGUGCUUCAUCAUGGAGGCUACAUGGCAACACCUGUGUAUUCUGUGGAUAUCACCAGUGCUUUCAGAAAUGGGGCAUCCGAAGAGGAGCCUAUUCUUGAGCAGAAAUCCAGGUACAGGACAGCACUAAUAGCUGAUGGAAGAGCCCCUUUUACUCUUUGACACAAAAUUUUCACAGACAUCAACAAGACAGUCCUUGUAUGAAACCCAGGGAGGUAUAAUGAAUACUAUUUAUAAAGACAGAAUGACAAGAUUAUUGGAAUGAAUGCUGUAUGAACUGUACAGCUUAAGGAAUAAAAUUCCAGUGCUGAAUUAGUCUCUGGACUGACAGAAAUGAGUGAAGAGGCUCUGUCAAAUAAGGAUACAAGAUGGACACUGCCCUAAGAAUCCACAAUCCAGAAGAAUAGUCAGUCCCGCACUAUUGCAUUUAUGGCUUGAAGGGUCAACAUCCCUGAUAGUUGAUAAAACAGAUAAGUACAAGAAUCCACAAUUUCACCAGUCAAGACAGAUUGUGCAAGAGCUAAAACUACACUCUCCUUGGAAUUUUCUCUUAAAUGCUAUGGAAGAAUAAAAGAGCUAUGCCAAAAGAAAAGUGAAAACUGCAUACAAAAUAUUUUCUACUCAGUAAUACUAGUCACAAUUCUCUGUUGUUUUCAUUAAACUAAAAAAAAAAAAAGUAAGAUCCAGUUAUAUGCAUUUGAACAACGAAACUGGAUUUAACACCUUCCUAAAGCAAAUGAAUAAAAUCACUAAUGUUGAAGAGAUGGUGCCAUUUUUGAAAAGAUUUUAAUAUAAUUCUUCCCUUUGAUUAUUCAAAUGCUUUUAAGACAUUCUAUAAACCAAAAAGUAGUUGUUUUCUGGAGUGGUAGAUAAACACAAUAUAACCUCUUACAUUAUGCUGGCUUUUAAAUAAGGACUUGUCUAAAAGUAAAAUUUGUAUCAUUACCCUGUGAUUUAGUAGAAUCUUAUUUCAUGAGUAUUCUUGUUUGGUCAGAUUAUAAAUCAUUUAUUAGCAUUAAUAUUCAGUAAUUCACAUGUUUUAUCCCACCUAAAGAUUUCAGAUCUGCAGCACUGUGUCAGUUUUGCUGCGAGUGCAAUAUGGAAGUAAUCUAUAAAAGUACUGACAUAAAAAUCUGAUUUAGAAUGGUGUGGCUGAAUGUUCUGAACAAUUUAGAGUCUGAGAUAAAGCACUCUAAGUUCAAGGUGGUAUUUCUGGCAGCUGCACUGAGUACUUUUUGUAGGAUGUGUGAACAGCCCAGACCUCUUGAAUCACUGCUGAUGCUACCCAGACAGAUCAUAGCUGUGCUGAGUGGGCAUAGUCUGUACACAAAAGCAACUCAAUUCAUUCCACAACUUUGCAGUCCAGAUCAAUAUAAACACUGAUAUAUCUCCACCACAUUCUCAACACUUCUGUGUGACAAAAACAGUCUCCUAAAAUCCUAUAAAAAGGAAACUCCUCUCAAUGGAAUGCAUCAAGCUCAAAUGUGAUAAAUUUUCAAUUGUCUUACAUUUUUUAACUGUUUAAUCAGCACUCCUUUUUUUCCACCUCCCACCAAAUCCAGGCUGUUACCUAGCAAAGUGGAUUAUCAUUGCUAUGCAGUGCAUAACAACUGAUGAAAAUGGUCAGAUUAUAGAGUUUAACAAUGCAUGGUGAAGGAUGUUUCAUUUUAUUUUAUUUUAGAAUGACUUUUAUGACAGCAUGUGCUGGCAGAUCAUGUUGAUUAAACAACUGAUAAUGCCAUGUUGUAAACACUGAGAUUCUUGGUACUCCAUGCAGAAUUAGCACUAGAAACUGAACUGGGCUGCUCCUUUCUGAACAUAGUCUUACUGAAAAAACAUCAGAAUCCCAUUAUUGUUUAUACUCUGUGAUAACUACAGAGUAUGCUGUACUUAACUUUUCAGAGAGACAAAAAAGUGAAGCCUAGUCUCUAGCUUUCUGAUCAUAGAGAUUUUUUUAACCUAUUUUUUAAAAUUCUGAUGUCAUGUAUGAGUUCACUAUAUGGAAAAAUGCUUUUAUGUUGCUUCAGUUCAUUACUCUGUACUGAUAUUAUCACAAGAAUGUUAUUAACUUGGUUUUUUUUAUAAUUAAUAUUGAUUGUGUGUUAGUCUGUGAGCAAGUAAAAUGGCCUUCAGUUCCAGUCUGUAGAAAACCUACUCAGAAAUUUAAUAGAUAUUUCUUUUCACAUCUUUUAACUCGCUUAAUGGUGCAUCUCUCUUGCCCAAAGCAUUUCAUAUUUCAGUUAGAAGGUGAGGAGUAAAGGAGGCAACUAGUUUAACCAUUGUCUAUCCAAUUUUCAUGCUUCCAGCAUUUUUAAACUUCUAGCUGAAUCUUUCCAAGAUACUUUCCCAAAAAGAAGACACAACUUGAGAAAAUUAAAGAGAAUGUGAAUGUAUCUCUUGAAGGCCCAAAAGACCAUUUUACACUUGUUGUUUGAUUAUUUGUAUUUGUUCCUUUCAGUGUUUUGUCAAAUCUACCAUGGUCUAAUAAAGAGAGGCAAAUCACUACUCUUCUUGCUUUUCAGGAAUGCCUCAAUAAAGCCAUA